GCAGCCGUACUAGGCGCUGCCACGAAAGGGUUUUCGUGGCAAAGCCGCAUGCAGAGGGGAGGGUCUGAGAUGCCGUCGAGCCGCUAGCGCGGCAACGCCGCAAGGCGUUGGUCCUUCACCAGAAAGUCGCCGCUGGUCUCUCGCGAACGCGAGAGACGGCCGCUUGAAAGGGGGGACUGGCAAGGUAGCAGCACUUGUUCCCUCCUUUGCUUGCCAAAGGGGGGAGGCAGGGGGUUGCACGUGAGUUCAAUACCCGGGACGCUUUUGUCUCCUCAAGGGAGAAAAAAUGCGACCUUUCGAUUCAGACUACUCCCGCUGC
rnacentral:RNase_P_RNA from 1 species